CGCCGCGUGAGGGAUGAAGGCCUCUGGGCUGUAAACCUCUUUUAUCAAGGAAGAAGAUCUGAGGGUACUUGAUGAAUAAGCCACGGCUAAUUCCGUGCCAGCAGCCGCGGUAAUACGGGAGUGGCAAGCGUUAUCCGGAAUUAUUGGGCGUAAAGCGUCCGCAGGCGGUCUUGUAAGUCUGUUGUUAAAACGUGGAGCUCAACUCCAUUUCAGCAAUGGAAACUACAAGACUAGAGUGUGGUAGGGGCAGAGGGAAUUCCCGGUGUAGCGGUGAAAUGCGUAGAUAUCGGGAAGAACACCAGUGGCGAAGGCGCUCUGCUGGGCCAUAACUGACGCUCAUGGACAAAAGCCAGGGGAGCGAAAGGGAUUAGAUACCCCUGUAGUCCUGGCCGUAAACGAUGAACACUAGGUGUCGGGGGAAUCGACCCCCUCGGUGUCGUAGCCAACGCGUUAAGUGUUCCGCCUGGGGAGUACGCACGCAAGUGUGAAACUCAAAUGAAUUGACGGCGG
rnacentral:rRNA from 1 species